UACUCUAAACGUAGGUUUAGAGGAAAAAGAUUGUUGUCAACAGUCCAGAACAGAUUUCUACAAGAAAUCUAGA
rnacentral:sRNA from 12 species